UACGUAGGUGGCAAGCGUUGUCCGGAUUUAUUGGGGUUAAAGGGUGCGUAGGCGGUUCCAUAAGUCAGUGGUGAAAUACGGCAGCUCAACUGUCGAGGUGCCAUUGAUACUGCGGAACUUGAGUGUUGAUGAGGCAGGCGGAAUUGACGGUGUAGCGGUGAAAUGCUUAGAUAUCGUCAAGAACACCGAUAGCGAAGGCAGCUUGCCAAGCAACAACUGACGCUCAGGCACGAAAGUGCGGGGAUCAAACAGG
rnacentral:rRNA from 1 species